AUCCAGCUGACGAAUCCCAAAUAGAACAAAACGCUCGUUCUGAAU
rfam:Schistosoma haematobium scaffold87_15, whole genome shotgun sequence.